CCCAGCUGGCCCGGCCGCCGCGGCCUCUUCCGCCCGGCGCCCGCGCAUUCCUGCCAUUCCCCCGAGUCGGCCCGCGGGCUACGGCCGCCUGCGGAGCGCAGGAACCUUCACCUCCCGAGGACAGGCGCCUUCCCCUCGGGACCCGGCUCCCCUGCUGCCUGCGCCGCUCUGUCCCCCUGCCGCUGCCCAAGCCUCCAGCAGGGGCCACCGAGGGCUCCAGGAGCACCCCAGGCCCGUUCUUCUGGCCCACAGCGCCCCUCCUGUGACCCUCAGCGACCCUCCUGUCCUGCCCUCCGGCGGCGCGGCUGUCUGGAGACUCUGCACCGUCGCGGCCUCGCAGCCUCGCAGCCCCGCGCCGGGUGGGGAGGGGAGGGUGGCGUUCCUGAGUCCGCGGAGGAAAGGGUCGCAGCUGCAGUCGCGCCAGCCCUCGGGCCUACAUCCGCUCCGCCGCGACGCGGCUCACAAACUAGGGAGGGGAGAAGGGAAGAAAGACCCGAUUCGGGAACACGGCUUUGUCCCUGGAACUGUACCUCAUGUCCCCUCACUUAAUCCUCCCAAGACCUGUGGGGCGUGUCGUCAUUUUAGGGCUGGAGAUGAGGAAACCGAGGCUCGGAGAGAUGAAGCGUUGUACGGCCACCGAGCGGCUGCUUUGCAACGAAGCCAAAGCCAACGUUUUGUUCUUAGCGGCGGUCGUUUGAGCCACGCCUCACCGCAACGAGUCUGCCAUCAGCCAAGAGAUGGAGUGAAGGUACCUGAGCGCAGGAACCAUGGUCUUCAUUGCUGCCUCAGCAUUAGCGGAAGUGCCACGGGCCGGCUCCCAGGGGGCCAGAGUUUCCCAGGAACACCAUUGAGUACCACUGAACUAGAGUCUGCAAGUUAAAGUAAGGCAAGAAGGAAAACCGGAAACAACUGUAAAAACCUGACCUUUCGUCACCUUAAUACUGGCCAUCAUUUAUCGAGUGCUUAUUAUGUAACAGACAUUGUUCUCAGUGUGUGAGUGCAGUGUUCCUCAAACCUAAAUGUGGGCCUGAAUCGCAGCGGAUCUUGGUAAAAUGCAGUUUCUCAUUCAGUACCUCUGGGGUGCGGCCUGAGAUUCUGCAUUUCCAACAAGCUCCCAGGAUACUUUGUAUAGAAAGGCUUUGGUGUAUUAACUAACUCGAUCUUCUUAAUAAUCCUAUGAAAUACUACUGCUAUUCCCAUUUUACAGAUGAGGAAACAGAGGUUAAGCAUAUAUGAACUUACAUCAAAAUAAAUAGACUGCAGGGCAAGGAGGGAGGGGAGAAUAGUGUGGGCAGUGUACAGUGCAGAAACAAAGUUCUAGGCAGAGGAAAAAGGAUUUACAGAAAGCCUGGCAUACAGGGCAGGGGGACGGGGCCUGCACACGGGGCUGUUUCACCGUUAGACGUUAUAAGCACAGUACUUGGGGCUAUGGGCUUCCUGAAGGUCCCAAGUAUUUGAGACCUGAAAAAAAUUUAUUGACACCUACAUAGGAAAAGUGAACUUUUAAAUUAAUAAUUCCAAAAUUCAAAUCACGAAUUGUUUCAAAAAUUUUACAUGAUAGAAUUCAUAUUUAGUAAGCGAUACGGGUAUAUUUUAAUGCAUUUGAUUUUAAAAACGGGGUAGGGCCUACUAAGAACAGGCCAAGCCCUGGCCCCAGUGGGUUUGGAUAUAAUCCUGAGGGCAGCUGGGAACCACUGAGAGAAGCAGGAGAAUGUUCUCUGUGGCUACAGUGAGGAGAAUGGAUUGGAGGGAGGCCAGACUGGAGGCCCAGUGGCUAGAGACCAGAUAGGCAGUUACAGUCUUCCAGACUGCGAGACAAUCUCUCUUUAGUGCCAAGAUUAGCAUAAAAUCAUAGCAUUAUAUAACCCAAUUAUUCUUUGAUUCCUGCAUCCCCAAUCUGACUCAGCAUUCUAAAUUUACUUAAGAUCUGGGGACAAGGGUUUUUGGCAAAUCCUUGAAGGCAAAUGAUGUUACAGUCAAUCAGUAUAUGCCUUGAGCCAGACAGACAUGGGUACGGGCCUCAGUUCUGCUGCUUGCUAGCUAUGUGACUUUGCACAAGUGAUUUAACUUCUCUGGGCCUUGGAUUCCUUACUGGUAACACGAGCAUAAUCGAUUCCUCACAGAAUUAAGUGAGAAAACUAUGUAUGUAGGACUUCUUAUGGAGUGGGUACUUAGAAAUAAAUGGUAGCCGUUA
rnacentral:lncRNA from 10 species